rnacentral:rRNA from 1 species
GAGGCAGCAGUGGGGAAUAUUGCACAAUGGGCGCAAGCCUGAUGCAGCCAUGCCGCGUGUNUGAAGAAGGCCUUCGGGUUGUAAAGCACUUUCAGCGGGGAGGAAGGCGAUAAGGUUAAUAACCUCGNGCGUAUUGACGUUA